CCUACGGGUGGCAGCAGUGGGGAAUAUUGCGCAAUGGGCGAAAGCCUGACGCAGCGACGCCGCGUGAGGGAUGAAGGUCUUCGGAUCGUAAACCUCUGUCAGCAGGGAAGAACGGUCACUGUGCUAAUCAGCAGUGAAUUGACGGUACCUGCAAAGGAAGCACCGGCUAACUCCGUGCCAGCAGCCGCGGUAAUACGGAGGGUGCGAACGUUAAUCGGAUUUACUGGGAGUAAAGCGCUCGUAGGCGGUAUGUCAAGUCAAGGGGUAAAUCCCCGGGCUCAACGGGGGAACUGCCUUUGAAACUGGCAGACUGGAGUGUGUGAGAGGAUAGUGGAAUUCCAGGUGUAGGGGUGAAAUCCGUAGAUAUCUGGAGGAACAUCAGUGGCGAAGGCGACUAUCUGGCACAUAACUGACGCUGAGGAGCGAAAGCGUGGGUAGCAAACAGGAUUAGAUACCCGAGUAGUC
rnacentral:rRNA from 1 species